GUGAGGAAUAUUGGUCAAUGGGCGAAAGCCUGAACCAGCCAUGUCGCGUGAAGGAUGAAGGUCCUAUGGAUUGUAAACUUCUUUUGCAGGAGGGUAAAGUGAGCUACGUGUAGUUCAUUGCAAGUACCCUGCGAAUAAGCAUCGGCUAACUCCGUGCCAGCAGCCGCGGUAAUACGGAGGAUGCGAGCGUUAUCCGGAUUUAUUGGGUUUAAAGGGUGCGUAGGCGGACUAAUUAGUCAGCGGUGAAAUUUUGCGGCUCAACCGUAAAACUGCCGUUGAAACUGUUAGUCUUGAGUGCGGUAGAGGUAGGCGGAAUGUGUGGUGUAGCGGUGAAAUGCUUAGAUAUCACACAGAACACCGAUUGCGUAGGCAGCUUACUGGAGCACAACUGACGCUGAGGCACGAAAGCGUGGGGAUCGAACAGGAUUAGAAACCCCGGUAGUCC
rnacentral:rRNA from 1 species